rnacentral:rRNA from 1 species
GUAGGAAUCUGCCCAUCUGUGGGGGAUACCAGUUGGAAACGACUGUUAAUACCGCAUAAUAUCUGCGGAUUAAAGGUGGCCUUUGUGCUGCCGCAGAUGGAUGAGCCUGCGUUGGAUUAGCUAGUUGGUAGGGUAAGGGCCUACCAAGGCUACGAUCCAUAGCUGAUUUGAGAGGAUGAUCAGCCACAUUGGGACUGAGACACGGCCCAAACUCCUACGGGAGGCAGCAGUGGGGAAUAUUGGACAAUGGGGGAAACCCUGAUCCAGCAAUGCCAUGUGUGUGAAGAAGGCUCUAGGGUUGUAAAGCACUUUAGUUGGGGAGGAAAGCCUAUAAGUUAAUAGCUUGUAGGAAGGACGUUACCCAAAGAAUAAGGACCGGCUAACUCCGUGCCAGCAGCCGCGGUAAUACGGGGGGUCCGAGCGUUAAUCGGAAUUACUGGGCGUAAAGGGUCUGUAGGUGGUUUGUUAAGUCAGAUGUGAAAGCCCAGGGCUCAACCUUGGAACUGCAUUUGAUACUGGCAAACUAGAGUAUGGUAGAGGAAUGGGGAAUUUCUGGUGUAGCGGUGAAAUGCGUAGAGAUCAGAAGGAACACCAAUGGCGAAGGCAACAUUCUGGAUCAAUACUGACACUGAGGGACGAAAGCGUGGGGAUCAAACAGGAUUAGAUACCCUGGUAGUCCACGCUGUAAACGAUGAGUACUAGCUGUUGGAUUCGGUGUAAAGGAUCUAGUGGCGCAGCUAACGCGUUAAGUACUCCGCCUGGGGACUACGGCCGCAAGGCUAAAACUCAAAGGAAUUGACGGGGACCCGCACAAGCGGUGGAGCAUGUGGUUUAAUUCGAUGCAACGCGAAGAACCUUACCUGGUCUUGACAUCCUGCGAACUUUCUAGAGAUAGAUUGGUGCCUUCGGGAACGCAGUGACAGGUGCUGCACGGCUGUCGUCAGCUCGUGUUGUGAAAUGUUGGGUUAAGUCCCGCAACGAGCGCAACCCCUAUUGAUAGUUACCAUCAUUAAGUUGGGUACUCUAUUGAGACUGCCGCUGACAAGGCGGAGGAAGGUGGGGACGACGUCAAGUCAUCAUGGCCCUUACGACCAGGGCUACACACGUGCUACAAUGGGUAUUACAGAGGGCUGCGAAGGUGCGAGCUGGAGCGAAACUCAGAAAGGUACUCUUAGUCCGGAUUGCAGUCUGCAACUCGACUGCAUGAAGUCGGAAUCGCUAGUAAUCGCAGGUCAGAAUACUGCGGUGAAUACGUUCCCGGGUCUUGUACACACCGCCCGUCACACCAUGGGAGUGGGUUGCUCCAGAAGUAGAUAGUUUAACGAAUGGGCGUUUACCACGGAGUGAUUCAUGACUGGGGUGAAGUCGUAACAAGGUAGCCGUAGGGGAACCUGCGGCUGGAUCACCUCCUUA